rnacentral:lncRNA from 1 species
UGCCUUUUUCUAUUUUUGAACACACACCAACUGAGACUAGAAACCUUGCUGAGCAGAUGAGCAGCAAGAAAAGGUGAGGGAUAAUUGAGUCACAGAGCAGUUUAUUCAUUUCCUAUGGUUGCCAUAACAAACUGGUGGCUCAUGCCUAUAAUACCAGCACUUUGGGAGGCCGGGCAGAUCAUCUGAGGUCAGCACUUCAAGACCAGCUUAGCCAACAUAGUGAAACCCCAUCUGUACUAAAAGUCAAGAAACGGUUAGCUUAGUGGUUUACCUAUAUUAUUUCAUUUAAUUUUCACAACAUCUCUCUGAGCCAGGUACUAUUUUCUUUAUUUUGGAGAUGAGGUAGUGAGGUUA